AAGACUAUAGACCUGCGGAGUACCUGCGGAGGGAUCAUUAGUGAACGCCCUCACGGGCUUAUAACUAUUCCAAACCUCUGUGAACCGUGCCCUUCGGGGCUAUUUUACAAACAUGGUGUAAUGAACGUCAUAUAUCAUAACAAAACAAAACUUUUAGCAACGGAUCUCU
rnacentral:misc_RNA from 1 species